GAAAUGCGAUAAGUAGUGUGAAUUGCAGAAUUCAGUGAAUCAUCGAAUCUUUGAACGCACAUUGCGCCCUUUGGUAUUCCAAAGGGCAUGCCUGUUCGAGCGUCAUUUGUACCCUCAAGCUUUGCUUGGUGUUGGGCGUCUUGUCUCUAGCUUUGCUGGAGACUCGCCUUAAAGUAAUUGGCAGCCGGCCUACUGGUUUCGGAGCGCAGCACAAGUCGCACUCUCUAUCAGCAAGGGUCUAGCAUCCAUUAAGCCUUUUUUCAACUUUUGACCUCGGAUCAGGUAGGGAUACCCGCUGAACUUAAGC
rnacentral:misc_RNA from 1 species